AUACCUUUCUCGGCCUUUUGGCUAAGAUCAAGUGUAGUAUCUGUUCUUAUCAGUUUAAUAUCUGAUAUGUAGGUCAUCGGCCCACUCGAUAUUAAUCUUAUUUUUUAUGGGGAAAAGCCCAUCAUAAUAGCUUGCUAUUGGGGCUUUUAAGCAUCGCCUUGGUGUUGCACUACUGCCUUGGCCUGGCGCACCCCUC
rnacentral:snRNA from 1 species